GGGGAGAUGGCUCAGUUGGUGAGAGUGCCUGCUUUGGAAGCAGGAGGACCUGAGUUCAAAUCCCUGGCACCCCA